GCAGGAAUGGGUUUCUCAUCAUCUGUGCUGUCUGUUGGUGUCUGGAGCAGGAUGGCUCUCUUUUGGCUGGUGGCAGCAUGUGUCUCACAGUGGGCAGGGAUUCAUGUGUCUUGUCAGAUAUUCAGUUAUUUUUCUUCAUCAGUUAUAUUUGUUUAGAGGUUUAUGUUAAAGAAAAAUAGUAACUGAGUGCUAACAUGGAUGUGCCACAAAUCAUGAGGGUUGUACAUUGACAACUGGCGUUGGGGACCGUGCUCAGCUUGCCCUGACACUCCCACCCAUGCUGUGCCUUCAUGUGCACCCCAGCAUCUCCUCCACACAUAUGCCUUCAAGGGUAACAUUGCCACCUCCUCUGUGACACCCUUGAGCAGAUGCAGGCUAGCAAAUCCAGUUUUGCAAAUGAUUAAUUUUUCAUAUUAAUGUGUUUGAAGUCAUGACAGAUGGCAUAACCUGCAGUUUAUACCUAGUAAGAUAUUGCUUAUGUUCCUGCUUCAUAUCUGGAUAUGGUUUCCUCAUGGGCUGAAAAGCAUCGUCCAUGGACUUAA